CUGCUGGCUUUGGCAGCACAUAUAGUAAAAUCGGAAUGAUCUAGAGAUUGGCACGGCCCCUGCACGAAGAUGGCACACAGUUCUGAAAUGUGCCAUAUUAAA
ensembl:snRNA U6 U6 spliceosomal RNA